rnacentral:rRNA from 1 species
AUUGAACGCUGGCGGCAUGCUUUACACAUGCAAGUCGAACGGCAGCGCGGGGGCAACCCUGGCGGCGAGUGGCGAACGGGUGAGUAAUGUAUCGGAACGUAUCCUGUAAUAGGGGAUAACCAGUCGAAAGAUUGGGUAAUACCGCAUACGCACGAGAGUGGAAAGUAGGGGAUCGCAAGACCUUACGUUAUAGAAGCGGCCGAUAUCUGAUUAGCUAGUUGGUGGGGUAAAGGCCUACCAAGGCGACGAUCAGUAGCUGGUCUGAGAGGACGACCAGCCACACUGGGACUGAGACACGGCCCAGACUCCUACGGGAGGCAGCAGUGGGGAAUUUUGGACAAUGGGCGAAAGCCUGAUCCAGCCAUGCCGCGUGCAGGAAGAAGGCCUUCGGGUUGUAAACUGCUUUAGUCUAGGAAAAAGGGGUGCGAGGUUAAUACCCUCGUGCUUUGAUGGUACUGGAAGAAUAAGCACCGGCUAACUACGUG